rnacentral:rRNA from 1 species
UACGAAGGGGGCUAGCGUUGCUCGGAAUCACUGGGCGUAAAGGGUGCGUAGGCGGGUUUUUAAGUCAGAGGUGAAAUCCUGGAGCUCAACUCCAGAACUGCCUUUGAUACUGGAAAUCCUGAGUAUGGGAGAGGUGAGUGGAGCUGCGAGUGUAGAGGUGAAAUUCGUAGAUAUUCGCAAGAACACCAGUGGCGAAGGCGGCUCACUGGCCCAUAACUGACGCUGAGGCACGAAAGCGUGGGGAGCAAACAGG